AACACACCUUUCCCCAAAACCUUCCUCAAGGACCCAUUUGUAAACAGUCAGGCAUCAGCAUCUUGAUAGUUAAUGCCCUCCAUGAGAUCCCAGCCCAGCCCAGCAGCAAAGCUGAGGCAAUCCAAGCGCUGCCCAGCUGGGCAGACAGCGCUGCUGCCGGGACUCGGCCCGCAGCACUCCACCAGACAAACACGCCUGUCUUGGCAGAGGGCACUUCACAACCAGGCACUGCAACAAGGGCUGCAAUUCAGUGCCCAGAAAACAACAGGAGACUUGAUCCUUCCCACAUGAACACGAAGAAAUAAAGCAUAAGGCACUGAGCCAGCCACCAUGAAAUAAGCUGAAUGUGUAGGGAAACAUCUUCCCUGCUAGAAUGAGGAGAGACUCCCCUGACCCCCAGCUGCCACAACACGAGGCACAAGGGUUUCUCCUCCCUGCAAAACAUCAUUCUGCAGAGGUCAGAUACAAUGAACUUGUCCUGAAAGAAUUUACCCUUGUUCUCCAGAAACACUACAAAAACAAAGUUUUCCUCAUGCUGAGAAGAACAGAAACAAAACCAUAACUUUAAAAUCUGGCUGCUGUGGGUGAGCUCUCCUGUUCCAAAGCCAAACACUUUGCUCAUCCUCACCAGGCUGCACCCAACAGCUACAACUCAGCACCUCAACACCGUUUUCUGCUCUUUUUUUUGUCCAUGUCAAUACAUGCAACAUUAUGAUAACACAGACAGCUGAUAACAUCAAAAUGUGAGGAUUUGGGAAGUUUUUUUAAGUUGGUAUCAGCCACAGUGCAGGAUUUGGCCAGACAGCUCCUUCCACAGAAAGCCACACAAUGAAAUACAGAGGUUUUCCCUUAGCCAUGAAUUAUCAAAGAUAAUCAAAUAUUAUCAAAGAUUCAUCUUUAUUCAAAGAUAAAUAUUUACAAAUUUCCUAAGAAGCAAAGGCACACAGCUCUUGCUGAUUUACAAGCAGAACAAAUAUUCCUGUAAAGGAAUAUUAAAAAUAUUAAAAAUAUUAACAAUAAAACCUUGACUAAAAUUUCCCUGUUUUUGACCU